AUGCCCUUGCCGUGACCAACCUGGAUAACUGAUUUGCGUCCGUGUUCCGAAUCCUUCAUGGCAGCCAUGGCUUCGUGGGUGCCUGCACACACGCACACAGGCAACCAUGGUUUCUACGUGGGUGCCUGUAAGAACCCUCCAGAGAUGAGGAAAGGUCGAACGGAAUUUGCCGAGCAGGGAUUCGUUGGUGAGGGCCCCAUUGAUGAUGAGAAAUGUGCAGAUUGAAGACUCAUGAUAGAGCCAGGAAGCAAGAUAGCAGAUUCACCUCGUUGGGGAAAGAUAGGGGGUAGGGGACGGUGCAGCCGGCGACGGUCGAGCCCUCUGCUCGGCAUGUUCGCACGAUGGGGACGCCGAAUGGCAGCAGACCCGGCGUGUUCGCGCGAUGGGACGAUGGAUGGCGGCGGCGGCGGCGUCUUGGCGCUAUGGGCCGACGGAUGGCCGCGGCUCGCGCUACGUGAGGGCGGCGUCGACCGCUUCGAGGAUGACGCGGCAUCCCCUCCCUCCGCGUGACACUCCAGGUGACGGGGCGGAGGCAGCUCCGUGCGAGGGGAGUGUGGCGUCAAUGGGUUUACGGUGGCGGUGCUCGUGCGUCGGGACGACCCGGAUUGAUGGAGGUAACGCGGGGCAGGGGAACCGUCAGCCGCGACCCGCGGUGGGAGUCAGGCGGCGGCGGUAGGGUGGGGCCCGCGCGUUGGCCGUGGCCGCGGUGCAUCCGCAGCCUCUGCGGGAGUCGGGGUGGGGAGGUCGCGGAUCCGCGGCGCCAGCACCACUGCUGGAGUAGCGACGGGGAGAUAGCGGAUCUGCGCCGCGCGAUGGGCAACAAGGCGGCGCUGGCGGAAGAUGGAGGACGGCGCGGUUGGGGAUGGGGAGGAGGGAAGCGGCGGUGUGGACUCUAGGGGCAGGGAUCGGACGAUCCAGCGAUGAACAGAUUAAUCUGACGGUCGAAAAUUUGUAGAGGAACUUACGAUAGGGGAGGGACUAGGAUGUUUGUGGGCGCGGAGGCGACAACCACCGAGCCAGGAGCGCCGGAGGAGAAAGGAGAGGUGGUGUGGAGAUGGCAGCGCCUGUGGCGGAGGGGGCGGCGGCCGCGGCCGCGGUGGCUUUGCGGGCCGUGCUGGCGCGGGCAGGGAGAGCGGCGGAGCGGUCGGGCCGCGCGUCGGAAGCAGCGCGGGUUGUCGCGGUGGGGAAGACCAAGCCCGUCUGCGGCAGCUCUACGACGCCGGACAUCGCUGCUUCGGCGAGAAUUACGUGCAGGAGAUUGUCACCAAGGCUCCCCAGCUUCCGGAAGAUAUCCGGUGGCAUUUCAUUGGCCACUUGCAAAGCAACAAAGUGAAACCACUGUUAGCUGGUGUUCCAAAUCUUGACAUGGUUGAGGGUGUGGAUAAUGAAAAGGUUGCCAAUCACCUUGACCGUGCUGUCAAUAGCCUGGGAAGGGAGCCUUUGAAAGUACUUGUUCAAGUGAACACUAGUGGAGAAGAAUCAAAAUCAGGUAUCGAUCCCUCCAGAUGCGUUGAGCUUGCUAAGCAUGUGAAACUAGCAUGCCCACACCUGAUAUUUUCAGGUCUGAUGACAAUAGGAAUGAAAGACUACUCAUCAACACCAGAAAAUUUUAAGGCACUGGUAGAUUGUAAGAUUGAAGUUUGCAAGGCCCUUGAGAUACCGCCAGAACAGUUUGAGCUCUCCAUGGGAAUGUCCGGUGAUUUUGAGCAAGCGAUAGAGAUGGGCAGCACGAAUGUGAGAAUUGGAUCAACCAUUUUUGGGCCAAGGGAGUAUCCAAAUAAAAAACAGAAGUAGUGAGAUUCAACGCAUAAGCAUUAUCUCAAUACGCAAUCCUCACAAGUCUGUUCCAUCUACCUCUUACUGACAUCUUGCCUUUGUAAGCAUGACGCUUUGUAAAUGCACAUGUGAAUAUGUAAUAUCUGCAGAUUUACAACUCCAUACGCAGCUUGUAAAGGAAAUUUUUAUGCUUGA